CUACGUGCCAGCAGCCGCGGUAAUACGGAAGGUCCGGGCGUUAUCCGGAUUUAUUGGGUUUAAAGGGAGCGUAGGCUGGAGAUUAAGUGUGUUGUGAAAUGUAGACGCUCAACGUCUGACUUGCAGCGCAUACUGGUUUCCUUGAGUACGCACAACGUUGGCGGAAUUCGUCGUGUAGCGGUGAAAUGCUUAGAUAUGACGAAGAACUCCGAUUGCGAAGGCAGCUGACGGGAGCGCAACUGACGCUGAAGCUCGAAGGUGCGGGUAUCGAACAGGAUUAGAUACCCUGGUAGUCCGCACAGUAAACGAUGGAUGCCCGCUGUUGGUACUUGGUAUCAGCGGCUAAGCGAAAGCAUUAAGCAUCCCACCUGGGGAGUACGCCGGCAACGGUGAAACUCAAAGGAAUUGACGGGGGCCCGCACAAGCGGAGGAACAUGUGGUUUAAUUCGAUGAUACGCGAGGAACCUUACCCGGGCUUGAA
rnacentral:rRNA from 1 species